rnacentral:rRNA from 1 species
CAUUAGAUACCCCGGUAGUCCCAGCCGUAAACUAUGCGCGUUAGGUGUAUCGGUGACCACGAGUCACCGAGGUGCCGAAGGGAAACCGUGAAACGUGCCGCCUGGGAAGUACGGUCGCAAGGCUGAAACUUAAAGGAAUUGGCGGGGAGCACCACAACGGGUGGAGCCUGCGGUUUAAUUGGACUCAACGCCGGGAAGCUCACCGGAUAAGACAGCGGAAUGAUUGCCGGGCUGAAGACUCUGCAUGACUAGCUG